GCUGAGCAGGUGGGGUGGUAGCUGGUGUUGGAAUCAUAGCCCGAGGACCUAGUGGAGCACGCGGUGGCUGAGAAGUCUAUGGAGGUGCACCCCUCCUAAGUCUGGGGCAAUCCAUCACUAUAUGGAGAGUGUCACCACACUCAAAAAAAAGCUCUCGGAGAGUGUGGCUGCUGUGACUGGCUCGGGCCAAGUCUGCUAGACUGACCGCUAAAAGCACCCCGUGCAAGAGGCACACUAGACACUCGCGGUGCAUAAUAAGGCUCCUAAGGCCAAGAAGGGACCUGAAUACUACUAGCAACUGGAAGAGCUGAAUGAACAAGGCGACUCCCAAAGCCCCUACCAUGGAGAACUGCAGCUGGGGCAUGAGUACCACUGUAAGUGCCAGACUCUCGAGACCUCUUGGCCUCCCUCUCAUCUCUAUCUCGAGCGAGCAUUCCCUCCAAUUUCCUAGCAAUACUCACAACCUGCUGGUAAGAAAUAUCCAUCUCUAACUCCCUGACCACACUAAUCCUGAUACUGGGGUGGAGUCCCUUAAUAAACCGACGAACCCUCUCUCGAACUGCGACAACCAUGGCACCCUGGCGCAGCUACUUAAACGAACUGUAUACUCUGACACAAUCAUAGCACCCUGGCGCAGCUACUUAAACUCCGCGCGCCAUGCGUCCCUGAGGCUCUGAGGGACAUACUCUCUCAAAAACAUAUCCGAGAACUAAGUCCAUGUAGGUGAAGCUGCCUCAGCUGGACUACUCAACUCAUAAGCAUGCCACCACUGAAAGGCUGCUCCUCUAAGCUGAAAUGCAGUAAAGGAAACCCCACUCGACUCUGCUACACCCAUAGUACGGAGAAUGCAGUGACACUCCUCUAGAAAAUCUUGGGCAUCCACUAACGCCAAUCCAUUGAAGGUAUGAGGGUGGUACUUCUUGUACCUCUCAAGUUUGAGAUGAUCUGCCUCAGAAACUUCUACCCUAACCUCGGGCUGAGCUGGAGCUACUGGCUGCAUCGGAAAAAUCUCUCAAACCUGGUCGACCUGAACCUGCUGCUCAGGGGUACGGGCUGCGGGAGUUUGUGCUCCUCCCCCGACCUGAGAUGUGGCAGGAGCAAGUGGAAUUAAUCCAGCCUGAGCUAAGGUGCUGAACAUGCUCAGAAAGUGGGCUAGAGUCUCCUGGAGGGCUGGUGAAGCAACAUGUAUCUCAGGUGUCUGCCCUCCAGCUGGAGCUACUGGGGGCUCCUUUAUAACAGCUCGUGAGGGUGCUUUGGCUGCACCGCGUGGACGUCCUCGCCCUCUACCCCGGCCCUGGCCUCUCGCGGCUCUAGCAAGGGGCGCCGGUUCCUGGUCAUCAGAUCCGCCUAUACGUGUCCUUACCAUCUGUGAGAGAAUAGAAUACAAAAGUUUAGAAUUUCGAAGUCAACAAUUUUGUACGAUAAGGAAUCAAAGAAGUGUAAUUUUUCCUAACAGUUCCAUAGCCUCCCGAAGAUAAGUACAAAUGUCUUCGUACCGAUCCACGAGACUCUAAUAAAUCAGCUUGUGACUCACGACACCUAUGAACCUAGAGCUCUGAUACCAACUUGUCAUGACCCAAACUCCCUCCGUAUAAUGUCGUGACGGCACCUAAUCUCUAUGACUAGGUAAGCCUAACAAAUUGCGGGAAAUAAACAAACGAAAGUAAAACUUGGCAACUAAUAACAGUGGAUAAUUGAAUAACUAGUAACAAUGCGGCUUGGCAUGUAAAAUAUCCAAUACUCUAUAAAUACACAAUCUUCCCAAAAUCCGGAACACCAUAAGUCAAAAGCUACAGAAGGAAAAUAACAUCUCUAUACACCAGAGUCUAAUAAAAAGAAUAUAUGAAGUGUUUGACAUAGGGGAGAAUAGAGGGAACUCCUAGGUCUGCGGACACGAAAAAUGUACCUUGAAGUCUUUGUACAGCAGCAGGCACUCUCAGCUAAUAGCGGAGCUGAUAAGAAGUACCUGGAUCUGCACACAAAAAUAUGUAUAGAAGAAUAGCAUGAGUACACCACGACGGAACCCAGUAAGUGCCAAGCCUAACCUCGAUCGAGUAGUGACGAGGUCAGGUCAUGCCCACUGGUAAAUAAUAAAUAAGGCAGGAGAAUAUAUACAGUAUAAUAAGAGACUAGAAUUUAACAAAAGGAAACACUGCAAGGCAACAGUACAACACACAAGGGUAAACAACAGGGGAUCUCCCGAGAUACCGUCUCCUAGUCCCAAAAUAAAUAUGCAGGGAGAACUUCCGAGGUACCGCCUCGUAGUCUCAAAAGUAAAUAUAUAGGAAGAACUCCCGAGGUACCGCCUCGUAGUCUCAAAAGUAAAUAUAUAGGGAGAACUCUCGAGGAACCGUCUCGUAGUCUCAAAAGUAAAUGUGCAAGGAGAACUCCCGAGGAACCGCCUCGUAGUCUCAAAAGUAAACACACAGCUCAACCGAUAAAUACAACAGUUAACAGUAAAAUUUCUACAGUUAUACUGAUAAAGAACAAGGAAAGUAGGAAAUAAACUAGGCAUGCUUCACAGAGUUCAAAUAAGCAAUUAAAGCACGUAGACAUGCGAUAUUAGACUAAACAGGAUAACUACACAUACUGGAAUAACUCAAUUAAGAAUGAAAACAAACUGAUACUCAUUUAAACGGUAUAACUCAAAGAAAAACAGGUUGCUACUCAGUAAAAUAAAUUGGUUUUACAAUAAAUAGCCUGUGUACGUACUCAUCACCUCACGUACACGACGCUCACAUAUCACAACAACACCAAAUCCUAAGGGGAUUCCCCCCCCCCUCCCCCCUCCCCACAAUGUUAGGCAAGCCACUUACCUCGAACCAAGCUCAAUCAAUAGGAAGCAAUGCUUUUCCCAUGAAUAUCCAACUCUGAAUGGCCUAAAUCUAGCCAAAAUCAAUUACAUACCAUAAAUAUAUCUAUAAUCAAUGAAAUCUAAGCUAAAGCAAGAAAUUAGGAAAUCGUCCCAAAAAGCCUCACAGGACCCACAUCUCGGAAUCGGGUAAAAGUCACAAAAUAUGAACACCCAUUCACUCAUGAGUUCAACCAUAUAAGAAUUACUCAAAUCAGACCUCAGAACGUUUUUCAAAACUCAAAAUUUUAGUUGAAGAACUUCUUCCCAUUUUUCUCAAUUUUUCAACCCAAAUCUGAAAUUAAAGAAUUAAUUAAUGAUAGAUUAGUGGGAUAUAACCAAAAUGGAGUGUAGAAUCAUUACCCAAUCGAUGUCUCUGAAAAUCCCUCAAAAUCCCAUCCAAAUCCGAGCUCCCAAACUCGAGUUUUGAUAAAAAUGAUCAAACCCUCGUUUUGAAAUGAUAUAAGUCUGCCUAGUGAUUCCUUAAUCGCGAUCGCGGAAAUAGCCUCGCGAUCGCGAAGAACAACUUCGCUGCCCUAGGAUUUAACCCUACGUGAACGCGUAAACACCAAGCGAACGCGAUGUACUGGCUCUCAGACUUACGCGAUAGCGAACGUCCUCACGCGUUUGCGAUGAGCAAAGCGCGUGGCCCAACUUUAGCCUCCUUAACUCUAUGUGAACGCGACUUUGGUCACGCAUUCGCGAAGCACCACUACGCGUUCACAUCCUUCUUCCCGCGAACGCUAAGAACAAAACUUCCUCUACCUAGCUAAGCCUACGCGAUCUCGGCCCCUCUCUCGCGACCGCGUAUAAGGAAACCAGAUACAACAGAUCACAGAACUUCAGCCAUUUCUCUAAGUCUAAAACGCAUCCGAUAAUGAUCCGAAACACACCCGAGGCCCCCAGGACCUCAACCAAGAUACCAUCAAGUCCUAAAACACCAUACAAACUUAGUCGAGCCCUCAAAUCAUAUCAAACAAUGCUAAAAACACGAAUCACCCUCCGAUUCAAACUUAAUAAACUUGAAACUUCCAAUUUCUACAACCGAUACCGAAACAUAUCAAACCACGUACGACUGAUCCCAAAUUUUGCACACAAGGCAUAUUCAAACCUACGGACCUACUCCAACUUCCGGAAUCGGAAUCUGACCCCGAUAUCAAAAAGUCCACUACCGGUCAAAUUCUCCAAAAAUUUGACUUUCGCCAUUUCAACCCUAAAUGAGCUCCAGACCUCCAAAACACAAUCCGGACAAGCCUCUAAGUCCGAAAUCACCCAACGGAGCUAACGGAACCGACGAAAUUCCAUUCCAGAGUCGUCUUCACACUGUUCCGACUACGAUCAAAAAUCCUAAGACUUAAACUUCUGUUUAGGGACUAAGUGUCCCAAAACACUCCCAAACCACAAACAACACCUCUCGGCAAGACACAUAAGCAGAAAAUGACGCGGGGAAAUCAGUAAACAGGGGAUCAGGGCUAUAACUCUCAAAAUGAUCGGCCGAGUCGUUACACUUAAGAUAUUUUAAUUUUUACAUUCGAUGCUGAAACCUAUCAAAUCAAGUCCGAUUGAUCUCAAAUUUUGCGCACAAGUUAUAAAUGGCAUAACGGGCCUAUGAAAAUUUUUAAAACUAGAUUCCGACCCCAAUAUCAAUAAAAUUUAAUUUGUGGUCAAAUUUUGAAAUCUUUAAGCCCUUAAGUUUCUAGUUUUCGUCAACUGGCGAUAAUUCAAGUUAGGGACCUCCAAAUUAAAUUUCGGGCAUACGCCCAGGUCCCAAAUCACGAUGUGGACCUACCGGAACUGUCAAAACACUGAUUUGAGUCCGUUUCCUUAAAAUAUUGACCAAAGUCAACUAAGUUGAGUUUUAAAGCUCUCUUUCAUAUUUUAAUCUAUUUUUCACGUAAAAACUUUUUGAAAAAUUAUCCGGACAACACAUGCAAGUCGAGGAAAGCUAAAUAGUGGUAUUUGAGGUUUUAGAACACAUAUAUAAUGGCAUGAUAAUCCUGCUGAUACCUAUAGCUCGCUGGGCGGGCAGUGGAGCAACUGGUGCCGGUAUGAUGGCAUGAGAAUCCUGUUGAUAUCUGUAGCUAGAUAACCUAGGGCAAUACCUCCUGAUGUGACCAAUGUUCCCACACUCAUAACACUCAUCCUUUUGUCGUGGCUGCCGAAGCUGAAGCAGACUCGAAUGGGUCGGAUAACUGCCAUAGUGACUUUAGAGCGGUGGUGCACUGAUUGGAGCUGGAUGUGCACUAAAUAUCGGCUGCCCAGAGUAAGGCAUAAUAGGACCAUGACUCCCAGAAGCACCGGGAGAUGCCUGAAAUGCUGAAUAAAAUGGCCUAGGAGGAUGACCCCUGCCAUAAGUACCCCUGCUUCCAUAUGGGGUGCCUCUGAAAUUACCGGAAUGACUGGGAUUUUAUCUGACACUGGCCCUCUCUCCUGUGAAAGAACCAUCUUGAUCCGCCUGGCGACAUUAGCAUCCGUCUGGAAAAAAUCUCACUCCCGGUCUCCUUGGCCAUAUGUAGAUUGAUAGGUUGAACGAGUCCAUCAAUGAACCUCCUCACCCUCUCUCUCUCGGUAGGAAGCAAAAGAAGAGCAUGACGGGCUAGAUCAAUAAAACGGGUCUCAUAUUGAGUGACUAAUAUACUGCCAUGUUGGAGACGCUCAAACUGCUUAUGGUAAUCCUCUCUCAAUGUAAUAGGGAUGAACUUCUCUAGAAAUAGCCGUGAGAACUACUCCCAAGUAAGUGCAGGCGAACCAAUUGAUAUAGUAAAUACGUAAUCUUUCCACCACCUCUUGGCGGAACCAGUUAUGUGAAACACAACAAAAUCAACCCCAUUACGUGUUCUCGCCGUCUGCGAGAGAAUAAGAAUAGAAUGGUUCAAUCAUCUAUGAUAGAAUAAAAUAGCACGACAGAAUAAGAAAGAAGUGAUAUUGUUCCUAAACUUCAUAGCCUCUAAGAGAUAAGUACAGACGUCUCCAUACAGAUCUUUCAGACUCUACUAAGCUUGCUCGUGACUCGUGAGACCUAAGUAACCUAGGGCUCUGAUACCAACUUGUCACGACCCAAAAUUUCCAUCUUCGGGGUCGUAAUGGCGCAUAAUAUUUUACUUGCUAGGCAAGCCAACGUUAGAAUAAUAUUAGUUAUUUUUAAAUAAUUUAAAAUUAAUUAAUAACAAAGAAACAAAUGCGGAAGUAAUGUCUGAAAUAUAGCGAAUAAUCUAUAAUAAUAGCGAUGCUAAAUACCAUCCCAGAACUGGUGUCACAAGUGCACGAGCUACUAGAACAAUACAAAUAAAGGUCUGAAUGAAAAUGAUAUUAUCUGAAAGAAAUACACAACUACAAAGAGUGGAAGGGGACUUCAGAACUGCGAACGCUAUGAAAUUAUAACUGAAUCCGAGCAAAUCUACUAUACACCACUGGGACCAACUCCGGUAUCUGCACAAGAAGUGCAGAAUGUAGCAUGAGUAUAACCGACCCCAUGUACCCAAUAAGUGCCGAGCCUAACUUCCACGAAGUAGUGACGAGGCUAAGGCAUGUCACUUACAUUAACCUGUACACAAUUAUAAUAAUAACAACAAUAAUAAAAAUAAAACGGGGAUCUCAUUUCAACAGUUGAAGCCAACUCGGCAGUCAUAACCAAUUAUUAUUUCAAUCAGUUUCCGUUACGGCGUGCAACCCGAUCCCACAAUAUAUUCAUAUUCAAUUCCGUUGCGGCGUGCAACCCGAUCUCACAAUAUAUUCAUAUUCAAUUCCGUUGCAGCAUGCAACCCGAUCCCAAUAUAUCUUUUCAAUCAAUUCUAUUGCGGCGUGCAACCCGCUCCCCCAAUAUAUUCAUUUCAAUCAAUUAUGUUGCGGCGUGCAACCCGCUCCUCCANNNNNNNNNNNNNNNNNNNNNNNNNNNNNNNNNNNNNNNNNNNNNNNNNNNNNNNNNNNNNNNNNNNNNNNNNNNNNNNNNNNNNNNNNNNNNNNNNNNNNNNNNNNNNNNNNNNNNNNNNNNNNNNNNNNNNNNNNNNNNNNNNNNNNNNNNNNNNNNNNNNNNNNNNNNNNNNNNNNNNNNNNNNNNNNNNNNNNNNNNNNNNNNNNNNNNNNNNNNNNNNNNNNNNNNNNNNNNNNNNUAGACACUCGUCACCUCGCCUAUACGUCGUUCACAUGAAUUUCACAUAACAAAUAAUUCAAGGGUUCUAUUCCCUCGAGUCAAGGUUAACCACGACACUUACCUCGCUUGGCAACCAAAUUCAAGAUUCUAAUAAACCUUUGCCUCGCGAAUUCGUGUCCGGAAGCUUCAAAUCUAGUCACAACAAUUCAAUAUACUCAAUACGAAUCGUAGGAAUUAAUUUCAUAUGAAAUUGCUAAUUUUUCGGAUUAAAAUCCGAAAUUUAUUUUAAAAAUUGACAGUGGGACCUACAUCUCGAAUCCCGAAAAAACUCACGAAAUCCAAACAGCAGUUAUGAUAUGAGUUCAACCAUACAAAAUUUAUCGAAGUCCGACAUCGGAUUGACCUUCAAAUCUUCAUUUUACUUUUUUGGAAGAUUUUAUAAAAAUCUGAUUUUUCUUCCAUAAAUUCACAGAUUCAUGAUGUAAAUGAAUAUGAAAUCAUGAAAUAUAAUCAAUAUAGGUUAAGGAACUCCUACCCCAGUGUUUACCCAUGAUAAUUGCCCAAAAAUCGCCUUACCCGAGCUCAAAAUUGUGAAUAAUGAAAAAUGGGACGAAAUCCCAUUUCGAGAACUUAAGUUCUGCUGUCUAGGGAUUUCUUCUUCGCGACUGGGAGGGCAGUCUUGCGAAGGUCAUGCUUUGCCAAGCUUGGCCUUCGCGAACGCGAAGCCUUAUCGCCUGGUGCCUAGCCAGGUCUCGCCCUUCUACGCGAACGCGGACACUCCCACGCGUUCGCGAUGAACACUGCACAUUAUCCUUCGCGAACGCGAAAAGUAAAUUUCGUUUGCCUCCAGUUCCUCUUCGCGAACGCGAGACCCUUCUCACGAACGCGAAGAAGGAAACUAGACAAUGCAUCAGAAAAGUUCCAGCAAAGUUUCAAGUCCAAAAUUAAACCCGUUAACCAUCCGAAACUCACCCGAGGCCGCAAGGACCUCAACCAAAUAUACUAACAAGUCCUAAAAUAUCAUAUGAAUUUAGUCAAAAUCUCAAAUUACAUCAAACAAUGCUAAAACCGCGAGUCAUACUCCUAUUCAAGCUUAAGGAACUUAAGAAUCUUCAACUUCUACAUUCGAUGCCGAAACCUACCAAUCAAGUCCGAUUGAACUCAAAUUUUGCGCACAAGUCAUAAAUGGCAUAGCGGACCUAUAAAAAUUUUCAGAACUGAAUUCCGACCCCGAUAUCAAUAAAAGCCAAUUUGUGAUCAAACUUUAAAAUCUUUAAGCCUUUAAGUUUCUAGUUUUCGUCAACUGGCGAUAAUUCAAGUUAGGGAUCUCCAAAUUAAAUUUCGGGCAUACAUCCAAGUCCCAAAUCACGAUACGGACCUACCGGAACUGUCAAAAUACUGAUCCGAGUCCGUUUGCUCAGAAUGUUGACCAAAGUCAACUCAGUUGAGUUUUAAACCUCUAUUUCACAUUUUAAUCCAUUUUUCAAAUAAAAACUUUUCGAAAAAUUAUACGGACAAUGCACGCAAGUCGAAGAAAUCUAAAUGGUGCUAUUUGAGGUUUUAGAAUACAUAAAUAAUAUUUAAAAUUAAAGAUAACAUAUUGGGUCAUCACAGAUUGAAUCCCAUGAAUGCUGGAAAUAUCAAAGGUGAAUGUGGGCCCAUUCACCUGCAAUGUAUACCACAUAAAAUACAUCUAUGUGAUGGUUACAUGUGCGAUUAUUAUUAACCCGCAACCUGAUGUUUGCGAGGUAACUUGCUCAAUAAUUUAAUUUCGAACAUAAUUUCUAUAUUUUCUAUUCAUGACAGUUCAUCUUGAUAAAUUGGUUUACAUCUCAACUAGUUUAGUAAAAUAAUUUAUUGAGUGCCUCGACUUAAUUGUUAAACUAUUGCUUAUGAGAAUAAAGUUAUAUAUAUUAGUUUGAUAUACGUUAUAUAUAAAAGUAUUAUUUCAUUCUCCCCUCACNNNNNNNNNNNNNNNNNNNNNNNNNUAAACGUGGGUUUCCAAAGUUGAGGAAGCAAGUUAAUUUUUCUAACAUGAGGGGGAGACACGAUAAAUAUGUGAGAAAAAGUUACGUAGAAUGAAUUAUAAUUUCUACAUCUAGAUCAUCGAAUAAGACAAUAUGAACUUGAAGUUCAUAAAAAGAUAAUUCAUAUGCAAUAUAUUGCAAAGCAUGUCACACGCAUUUGCGGACCCAAAGAAAGUAAUUCUAUUCUCACUGUAAAUCCUCCUAUUAGAAUAAGUCCUAGAAGGGCAAAGUCUACGGUACGCUUAAAGCCUACAGACAAAUCGGUUUCAAAUAAAAAUUUUUAUAAAGAAGAUGAGCAAAUGAUCAUAAUAAAUAGACAAGUGAUCUAGAAGAUCACAUGACAUAACACUUCAUAAAGGCUCAAGAGAGGUUCAGGUACUUGAAAAUAUGAAUGAAGAGAUUUAUAUGUUAUGUCUUUCUAAAAAAUGAGGUUGGAACCGAUAUAAAACGUUCGUCGACGACAUCUAUGAUAGCGCUAAGUAUAGAUGAGGAUCUUAAGUCUGUCGAAUACAGACACAAAAAUAUUGGCUAAAUGGAAGAGACAAAAUUCGAAUAAAAUUGGUUUCAUAUGAAAGACGUGUAGUUUUGGACAUGCAGUUCAAUCACUUAAAAGUAUAAAGUCAAUGAUAUUGAAAUAACGAUUCCAACAAGAUCAUAUGAAGAAUACAUCUCUAUCAAGAAUGAUGAUUUCAAGGUGCAACAUAUUCAUUCAAGUUAAUAUGGAUGAUUUGUUUAUCAAAUCUCUACCAAAGGAAUUAUGAAAAUCAACAUCAUUUGCGCAAUCAAGAUUCUCCCCAUGAGCAGUCGACACAUAAUAAUUUUCCAUAAAUCCCCUUUUAAAAAGAUGACAUGUAACAACAUCUUCUCCCAAUAACUAACGCACUUGCAUUUCACACAAGGGCACCUAAUCGUUCCUUCAAUACGAAAAUCAUCAAGUGUCCUUGCCUUAGAAAUAAAUCCAGCAACCCCUUCUUUAAGUUCAUCCUUUAACCCCACACGAUUAGGAUGAUUCCUAUUAUACAUCCAUCUACGAUGCGCAAAUGUCAUCUACACAAAGUUAAAAAGCUAGAAGUUUGACAUAUUUAUUUUAUUUAUACUAGUUACUAAGUUAUAUUUUUCCAAAGGUUAUCUAAAUAGUUUAAUUAUAUAUUUUUCUAUAGUACUUGGGUGGUUUCAAUAUUAAUAGGUACAUUAAACUAUUGUAAGACAAAAAAGUCCUAAAACAUAUAAAUUCAUCUAAUUUAUUUCAAAUUAGUAUAUGGUAGCGCUUUAAUGCUUAAUUGACUGCAUUUUCUUCAUUUCGUUCCAAUAAUAAAUAACAUAAUUAACACAUAGAUAGGCCGUGGAGAAUUUUCAAAUGAAAAGCCGAAACAGAGAAGUAUUAGCACUUAAGUUGUUUCUUAACUAACCUAACUUGAAUGUAUAAAAUUUUUAACUCUUUAAAAUAUUGUUCAACUCUAACAGAGAAGUAUUAGCACUUAAGUUAUUUUUUAUAUAAACAAGAAUUCCAUAAUUGUAGAAAAUACCCAAAUUAUUAUAAAAAAUUUCUUGAUUUACUAUUGUAUACAUACAAGUAUACUAGCCACUUUCACAAGAACAUCUAACUAAAAUUAUCCAUACUAUAUCUAAUUUAUACAUACUAAAUUGCUAAAAGUAUAAGUAAACAUUGUUAGUGUAUCUAAUUUAUACAUACUAAAAACAACUAGAAAAUGCUAAAAAUUUAAAAAAAAAAAGAAGAAACUUUCCACAGUAAAUCUGAAAUCCUUAAACCGUAUGAAACCCAAGAAAGAAGAAGACAAUUACUAGCAAAAACAAUUACCUUAUACUAAAGUCACCAGAUUUACUUUACCGGAGAAAUUGUUGGACCACCACAGGAGAGGAGAAGAGCCGCCAGAUUCACUGCAAAAAAAAAGAGUUAAACAAAUUGGGGCAAAAACAAUUAUGGGGAAGGGGAUGGGGCUAGACGGGGGAGGAGGACUGGACGGGGGACGGGGGCUGGGAGAGGGAGAGGGAGAGGGAGAGUGAGAGAGAGGGAAUUACUUACCUUGUAUUGAGAGACGAAGGAAAAUAGAUCGAGUGGGAGAAGAAGAGAAGAGGGGAUGAGAGGAAUAAAAAAUAGAGAAGAAAGAAUAAAGAAGGAAAAACGGAUUUGAGGGGCUGUAUAAAAGCAUUUGUGAUCGAUCCGGUUGUAAUUUAUAAUUUUAAAAUUGCGAUCAAAUCGAUCACAAAUGCCUUGACCAGUUAAACUCAAUUUUUUAGCAUUUUCGACCAAAUUGAUCGGAACAUUUAUUUUAAUUUUUUAAUUUUUGCGACUGACUCAGUCGAAAUUCCAAAAUUAUAUUUUUGCGGCAUUUUUCACGUAAUUGAUCGACGGAAAUGGUCGAAUUUUGGAGGCAAAAAUUAUUAAAUAAAUAAAAAUAUAAUUUUAAUUAUAUUUUUGAUCGAAACGGUCAGAAAUUCCGACUGCCUUUUUUCGGUCGGAAUUUUUCAAUCAAAAAUUUGCUUUUUUUUUUUUAAAGUAGUGACAAUACAUCUCCAUCAAGAAUGAUGAUUCGGGUGCAACAUAUUCAUUCAAGUUAAUAUGGCUGAUUUGUUUAUCAAAUCUCUACCAACGAUAUUUUGAAGGUGAUACACAAGAUUGAAAUGCAAAGACUCAAAUAUCUGACUAAUGUUCUCGUCAGUUAAUACGCGUUGUAUUCUUUUUUUUCAUAUAAGGUUUUGUCCCACUGAGUUUCCUUGCAAUAAAAAAUUUCUCACUCUACUUUUCUUUGCAAUACUCUUUUCGAAAAAAAUUAAUCAUUUUUAGGUCAGCUUAUUUUAUAUUGUUGUUGUUAUUACCAGUGUUUUAAAAGAUAUUUUUGGGAAUCGCCCGGGGCUCGCCUCUGGGCGGGUCACUUGCAAAACACCCUGGGGCUCAUGUAUGGGGCUUAGUUCUGUGAGCCUUACGCCCCAAGCGCCCGACCAUGCGCCCUAAACACGCCUAAUGCCCAAAGGGGCUCGCCUAACAGUUCUAACGCAAAUCACAUGUCGAAUUUCCUAAUUAAUAUAGUUGACCUUCAAAAUUAUUUAACAAAUUAAUGAUAAAACUUCUAUUCAUCGAUAGAAAUAUGAAGAUUGAGNNNNNNNNNNNNNNNNNNNNNNNNNNNNNNNNNNNNNNNNNNNNNNNNNNNNNNNNNNNNNNNNNNNNNNNNNNNNNNNNNNNNNNNNNNNNNNNNNNNNNNNNNNNNNNNNNNNNNNNNNNNNNNNNNNNNNNNNNNNNNNNNNNNNNNNNNNNNNNNNNNNNNNNNNNNNNNNNNNNNNNNNNNNNNNNNNNNNNNNNNNNNNNNNNNNNNNNNNNNNNNNNNNNNNNNNNNNNNNNNNNNNNNNNNNNNNNNNNNNNNNNNNNNNNNNNNNNNNNNNNNNNNNNNNNNNNNNNNNNNNNNNNNNNNNNNNNNNNNNNNNNNNNNNNNNNNNNNNNNNNNNNNNNNNNNNNNNNNNNNNNNNNNNNNNNNNNNNNNNNNNNNNNNNNNNNNNNNNNNNNNNNNNNNNNNNNNNNNNNNNNNNNNNNNNNNNNNNNNNNNNNNNNNNNNNNNNNNNNNNNNNNNNNNNNNNNNNNNNNNNNNNNNNNNNNNNNNNNNNNNNNNNNNNNNNNNNNNNNNNNNNNNNNNNNNNNNNNNNNNNNNNNNNNNNNNNNNNNNNNNNNNNNNNNNNNNNNNNNNNNNNNNNNNNNNNNNNNNNNNNNNNNNNNNNNNNNNNNNNNNNNNNNNNNNNNNNNNNNNNNNNNNNNNNNAUAUAUUAUUUAAUUUUUAUGUAAUUUUACCUGUUUAUAAAUAUUUAUUAUUAUUAUAUUAUUUUAUAAAAUAUUAAAAAUUUAAUACCUAUGAGCUUACGCCUCGCUGAGUCAUAUGUAAAACGCGUUGACUUACGUACACGCCUUUUAAAACACCGGUUAUUACCCGAUUUAGCUUGCGGAGCAGAUCAGGUAAGGAGAUAAGGUUACAGAGUUUACAUUUUUGCCCUAGAAUAUAAAUUUGGACUGGGGGUAAAUCUGGCUUUUAGCCAAAUCUUACAGUUCGUCAGUCGAUUCCAGUUACUCCAUUUCUUCCAGUUCCUUGCCGCUUCCGCCGUGGUUCCCGCCGGCGUUCGUGUUCGUUUUCUCCGGCCACCUCUUCGAGCCAAGGUCUUUUUUUUCUAGGCUGUGUAGAUAUUUGAAGCUUACUGUGUUAUUUUGGCUGAUUUACGUGUCCAGUGGGCUCUGCUCGCUAUUGUUGUAUGCCUCAAUCCCAAAGUAGUUCGUUUAGCUGUAUAAUUUCUCUAUAUUUAUUCAGCUAUGCCUCAAUCCCAAACUAGUUCGUUUAGCUAUAUAUUUUCUCUAUAUCUAUUCCGCUGUAUCGGGCUCAUUUCAUGUGCUGUGCUGAUUAUAUGGGAUAAUUUUUCAAUUCUGAUAUCUGAUUUAUUUUACUGUGAUUUCGCGGAACUUCAAAGAUUGGUGUAUUACUUGAGACGCCUGAAAUCGUGUACUGAGCCAGUGGGCAAAAAGUCAUGGUAUUAAUGUGUUAUUUCCUUUAGGAACUAAUUUAGUAACAAUAAUAAUUUAACACUAAUUUUGGUAGUUUUUCUCAAAUAAGCUACGCUUUUGUCUCAAUAACAAGUCCCACAUGUUAUAAUCUAUGUUACAUGGACUCAAUUAUGGGUACAUGUUACGGGAAUUUAUCAUGAUAUUGGCUAGUUUUAUGCUGGAUGCCAGUUUCCCGCAACACUCCUCCUUUAUUCGGGCUUGAGACAUGCUAUAGCAAGCUCUCACAUGGUCAGUGAGGAUCAUAUAGCUGAUCCCAACUUGUUUGGGACUAAGGCUUAGUUGUUAUUGUAUAUGGGUACAUUAGUUUUUUUUCCCCACUAUUUUUAAUUUAUUUCGAAAAAUCUUCAUGCGGUACUUGUUCGAUAUGGAUAUAUGAUAUAUCUAGGCAAAUGAAAGAUCCAUGUAAUAUAGGGUAUAAUUUCUAUUCACAGAGUAUUUGAUGAAUUGGAUCCUGCUGUCAGCUUGUAAUAUUGUUUUUAUUGGUGAGAACUGCUAAUAGAAAUCCUCUUACCGACUGCACUAUGAGUUCGAGUAUCAUGCCUUAUUUUUACCACUUUAAUGAAAAUCUAAGUGGUUCAGAACCUUCAUGACACUUUUAGAUUCUUUUUUAUUUUGUUUUCAGUUUUGUGUUUUUGCCUUCGUAUCCUUAUGCUUUCUUUCUUUUUCUGCAACAUUGGAUGUUUUAUACAGCUUGCAGUGAUUGUGCAUUAUUGGCUGCAUAUAGCAUGUGAAGAUGGUGUUAUCAUACGUAAUCCGAUAUUUUUAGAAUUGGAAAAUGCCUGAGAUAACAAGCACAGCAAAAGAAAUAUCUGAAAAUGGGACAGAUUCUUCUCAGGAUGAUAUUGGCACUGUUGAGGAAAUGCCUGAGGACAUAAUCUUAUCACGACAAACAUCGGUGAACCUCGUCCCUUUCAUUGGCCAGAGAUUUGUAUCACAGGAUGCUGCAUAUGAAUUUUACUGUAGCUUUGCAAAGCAAAGUGGCUUUUCAAUCAGACGUCAUCGUACGCGGGGGAAAGAUGGCGUUGGUAGGGGGAUUACAAGAAGAGAUUUUACGUGCCAUCGUGGUGGCUAUCCACAACUAAAGCCUUCAGAAGAUGGCAAGCUGCAAAGGAAUCGAAAAUCAUCGCGUUGUGGAUGUCAGGCGUUCAUGAGAAUUGUUAAACGAGCAGAUUUUAAUGUCCCUGAAUGGCGGAUCACAGGUUUCAGCAAUGUUCAUAACCAUGAACUCUUAAAGUCAACUGAGGUGCAGCUUGUUCCUGCCUACUGCACCAUGUCUCCUGAUGACAAGAGUCGCAUUUGCAUGUUUGCGAAAGCUGGGAUGUCAGUUCGGCAAAUGCUAAGGUUGAUGGAGCUAGAGAAGGGAGUUAAGUUGGGUUGCUUACCCUUCACAGAGGUUGAUGUCAGAAACUUGCUGCAAUCUUUUAGAAAUGUGGACCAAGACAAUGACCCUAUUGACCUCCUCAAAAUGUGCAAGGAGAUGAAAGACAAAGACCCUAACUUCAAAUACGACUAUAAAAUAGAUUGUAAUAACAGGUUGGAGCAUAUUGCCUGGUCUUAUGCUUCAUCAAUGAGGUUGUAUGAGGCUUUUGGUGAUUCCAUAGUAUUUGACACUACUCACCGCUUGGAUGCCUAUGAUAUGCUUCUUGGGAUAUGGAUCGGAGUGGAUAACCAUGGAAUGCAUUGUUUCUUUGGCUGUGUACUCCUUCGUGAUGAAAAUUUGCAGUCUUUCUCCUGGGCAUUGAAGGUACGAAGCCAUGCAAUCAUGUCACUAUACCAUUAUACCAAUCCCAUGUAUAAAGUAUUAAUCCUAAUUUGCCAGUACCCAAAAAGCUUUAAGUGUUUGAAAUGCCUAUUCAUGUGCCUAACAACAGGAGUCCGCGAGAGUGCCCAGAAAAUACUGAUGAAACUAGUGCAAAAAAGUGGAGUUCACUCCUGCUGUUAUUUACUACUACUUCAUAUGUUAAAAAAGGAAAAAUGAAUUAUCAGAUGUUAAGGAGCUACUUCAAAUAACUGGGCAAACUGGUGGCAAAGGAAAUUAUUAAACUAAUUGUUGCAAUUAGUGUGAAAGCAUAUUAUCUAAUAAGUUCAUCAGAUUAGAGUCUAAAACUUGAGUUAUAUUAAGAGAGUGGUUUCGACUGUACCCAAGAACUAAAAAUCAUAAAAAGACAAGAGAGUAUGUUGCAAGCUAGUUGGAAGAUCUCUUGCUUAACAACAUUAAUGACUUUUUGUCAGCUUGCACUUUAAUAUUUGCGUCGCUUUGCCUUACCGUAAUGAUGAUUCUUCACCUUCGUUUUGUGAUCUUUCUUUGGAUUUCCUCUUUUCUGUUUAAUGGUUGAUAACGCAUUUCUUUAUAUCUUUUUACCAAUCUUCCCCCUUCUUAUCCUUACCUGUAUAUAUGUUUGUUACGGGCAUCAGGUCAAACCAUCUCAGGUCAAUUCUGGUAUCAUAAGCAACUAGCUUAGCAACAACAACUGCAGAUAUCUUAAACGCAUCUUUCAAUCCAUAGCUUGCAACUCCCUUGGUUCCAUAUGCUAAUAUGAAAUCUUUUUUUGUUUUACUUCGUUUCUCCCAAAUUGGUGAUAGACAUUCUUGGGCUCCAUCAACGGCAAGGCUCCAGGAACCAUUUUGACUGAUCAGAAUUUGUGGCUCAAAGAAGCAAUUGUCACUGAAAUACCAAGGGCAAAACAUGCAUUUUGCAUUUGGCAUAUAAUUUCGAGGUUUUCAGAUUGGUUUUUGACACUUCUCGGAUCCCAAUAUGAUAAUUGGAAGGCUGAGUUCCAUCGCCUCUACAAUUUACAUUCUAUAGAGGAAUAUGAAGUGGGAUGGAAUGAGAUGGUCAAAACCUACAAGCUGGAUGAAAAUAAACACAUUGUCAGUCUAUAUGCUUUACGUUCAUACUGGGCGCUGCCUUUUUUGAGAUCUUACUUCUUUGCUGGAAUGACAAGUACAUUUCAGUCAGAGACAAUAAAUACUUAUAUCCAGAGGAUUUUGAGCGUGCAAUCUGUACUUGAUAAUUUUGUGGAGCAGGUGUGAGAUUCUCACUUACCUUUUGUUACUUAAACAGUUUAAUUAUUUGCUCAUUUGAUUCUUCUCCAAUUUUUUACUGACAACUGUACAUAUGCAGGUUGCUCGGGUUGUAGGCGCUAAAGAUCAAGCAGGAGGAAAACAUAAGGUACAGAGAAAUGUUCAAAAUGUUCCCCUGAAAACAGGUUCACCGAUAGAGUCGCAUGCUGCAACUGUUCUUACACCGUAUGCCUUCUCAAAACUACAAGAGGAGCUUGUUUUGGCACCACAAUAUGCGUCACUGAUGGUAGAUGAAAGUUACUUCAUCGUGAGACACCAUACAGAAAUGGAUGGUGGUUAUAAAGUAAUCUGGGUUCCGCAUGAAGAGUUCAUUAGCUGUAGCUGCCAUAAUUUUGAGUUUACUGGUAUUCUCUGUAGGCAUGUGCUACGUGUGCUGUCAACAAACAACUGUUUUCACAUUCCGGACCAAUAUCUGCCCACACGCUGGCGUGAAUGUUCCUCCUCUUUGGCUAAGCCUGCCCUCUUUAGUUUACCAAGUGAUAAUACAGGAAAAAUUCAGUUAUUGCAGUCUAUGAUUUCUACACUGAUUACUGAAUCAGUUGAAACCGAAGAACGCCUCAAUGUUGUUUGUGAUGAAGUUUCUACGGUUUUAUCUCGCAUUAAGGGGUUCCCGACAGCAUCCACUGGGGGUAAUGCUAUUGCAUAUGAGAGCCCAUCAGACUCGCUGAUUCUCGCAGAGGUUGAGGAUUCUGAUGGUAUUGGUCAAAGCUUCGCUUGUAAUCCUCACGAGUAUAUAAACUUGGCAAAGUUGAAAGAGAGAGGAUCAAGAGAUGGACUGGAUCUUUACAGGAAGAGGGGGCAUCUUUCCGUCUUAUGUUGUGGGCAAUAUGGCCAUGAUGCAAGUGAUUGUCCAAUGAUGGAAGGUGAAGAUUUGAAUGGAGAUAGACUUGGCUUUUUAUAGUAAAGGUUGCGAAAUGGGCUAGCACUUUGAGGAAAUAGGAAAUGUGAACCAACCUCUCUGUUCAUAAGCUGACAAUUCCCCCCUGUCAAUGCAAAUCUUUUACACCCUUAAACAUUUGUUAUCCAGGAAAUCGACUCUAACAUGGCUGGAAUACACUUUCUGACCAACAGUCUUCUCUGUAACAAAUGGAGGACCUUCUUUCAGUCACCAAUGAAGGAAGCAUUCUUAUUUCUGUCCUACCAACCCCAACUCCUAAAAGAAGAAGAAAAAAGGAGCAUUUAAGAUGUACCACUAUGAUUCUCACGCAUGACGCCUCAAUGGGGAAAACAGAGAAGCGAGGUUAGAUGGUAUAAUAUUGGGUUUUAUUUGAAAUACAACUGCGCAGGAUACACGUGACUCUUUUCUCUCUUUUGGUCUUUUCCCCUUCGUACUCUGACCAUGGCAUUCUGCGUCUGUUUCCAGAAGUGUUCUAUGGCACAAGUGACUAAUGUGUGAAAACAUAGGUCUACAUUCCACUAGUUUGAGUUCUAUUCUAAGCAUAUCAAGUGUAGGUUUUAAUUAAAUACUUGUAUUUGGUUCAAACAACAGUUACAAGACUACCUAUAGGAUGUGAUACAAAAUGGUUAGACUGGUACUUGAGAUGCCAUAAUCUGAUGAAAGGAAACAUUCUAGUCAUUUUGACCUUCAUCAGCCAAGGAAACUUUGCUUAGUCUGCUGGGCAAUGUCUUAAGAUCGUUCAUGUUCCUCACUUUUCUGGCUCUUCCUCGGCGGCUGCUUGAACCAAAUAUGGCUCUAUGUGCCAAUGCUUUUCCCAACAGCCGAUACUCAGCCCUGGAAACCUUUCUGUGAUCCUGCUCCCUUGUCUCGCCAUCAUCACACUGCUCUUGGAAGCUGCUGCUGUUGUAGGUUUCAGAAACUUCACAGAUUGCUUUGUCAGUGGCCAUUAUAUUACAACACAAAAGGAGGACUAGGGUGGUGGUGUGAAGGAAAUCGAGAAGUGUGUGAACUUUUUAUAUGUGACCCUUCUGGCUUAGUGGGAAUAAUUGUUAGUAAAAGACUUGGGGACAAAAGACAUAUGAAUGGGGAUGGUUAAGUUGGGUCGUUAGUGGUGGCAUGAAAAGGUAAAGUUGGAGGAGUUUGGAAGCAAAGUUUCAUGUAGCCGAAAGGUUGCUCCUUACGCAAAUCCUUUUUCACCUAUCCAUGCAUUCAUCAAUGUCUCUUGCGUAAGAAGGAAUAAUACAUUACACUUGGUAAUCCUUUAAUUUUGGCAGUCUUCAUUAGUUUUACUGUAUCUUCAUUAAUGAUUGGCUGUAAUUCUAUCAAGCGAGCUACUACUUGUAUAUCAUAUAGACUGGCACCUAAAUAAAUGCAUUGGCAUUUCUACUAGCUGAAAGUAAACUUAUACCAACUAAUGGCGUGCUUUCAGAGGUUUUUGCGAGUGAUCCAAAAGCUAUAUGAAGCAGAUGAAA
rnacentral:lncRNA from 1 species